rnacentral:rRNA from 1 species
CUCCCGGGAAUGUUAGCGGCGGACGGGUGAGUAACACGUGGGUAACCUGCCUGUAAGACUGGGAUAACUCCGGGAAACCGGAGCUAAUACCGGAUAGUUCCUUGAACCGCAUGGUUCAAGGAUGAAAGACGGUUUCGGCUGUCACUUACAGAUGGACCCGCGGCGCAUUAGCUAGUUGGUGAGGUAACGGCUCACCAAGGCGACGAUGCGUAGCCGACCUGAGAGGGUGAUCGGCCACACUGGGACUGAGACACGGCCCAGACUCCUACGGGAGGCAGCAGUAGGGAAUCUUCCGCAAUGGACGAAAGUCUGACGGAGCAACGCCGCGUGAGUGAUGAAGGUUUUCGGAUCGUAAAGCUCUGUUGUUAGGGAAGAACAAGUGCAAGAGUAACUGCUUGCACCUUGACGGUACCUAACCAAAAAGCCACGGCUAACUACGUGCCAGCAGCCGCGGUAAUACGUAGGGGGGCAAGCGUUGUCCGGAAUUAUUGGGGCGGUAAAGGGGCUCGCAGGCGGUUUUCUUAAGUCUGAUGUGAAAGCCCCCCGGCUUCAACCGGGGGAGGGGCCAUUGGAAAACUGGGAAACCUUGAGUGCAAAAGAAGGAGAGUGGAAUUUCCACGUGUACGGGUGAAAUUGCGUAAAGAUGUGGAAGGAACACCAGUGGCGAAGGCGACUCUCUGGUCUGUAACUGACGCUGAGGAGCGAAAGCGUGGGGAGCGAACAGGAUUAGAUACCCUGGUAGUCCACGCCGUAAACGAUGAGUGCUAAGUGUUAGGGGGUUUCCGCCCCUUAGUGCUGCAGCUAACGCAUUAAGCACUCCGCCUGGGGAGUACGGUCGCAAGACUGAAACUCAAAGGAAUUGACGGGGGCCCGCACAAGCGGUGGAGCAUGUGGUUUAAUUCGAAGCAACGCGAAGAACCUUACCAGGUCUUGACAUCCUCUGACAACCCUAGAGAUAGGGCUUUCCCUUCGGGGACAGAGUGACAGGUGGUGCAUGGUUGUCGUCAGCUCGUGUCGUGAGAUGUUGGGUUAAGUCCCGCAACGAGCGCAACCCUUGAUCUUAGUUGCCAGCAUUCAGUUGGGCACUCUAAGGUGACUGCCGGUGACAAACCGGAGGAAGGUGGGGAUGACGUCAAAUCAUCAUGCCCCUUAUGACCUGGGCUACACACGUGCUACAAUGGACAGAACAAAGGGCUGCGAGACCGCAAGGUUUAGCCAAUCCCACAAAUCUGUUCUCAGUUCGGAUCGCAGUCUGCAACUCGACUGCGUGAAGCUGGAAUCGCUAGUAAUCGCGGAUCAGCAUGCCGCGGGUGAAUACGUUCCCGGGCCUUGUUUAACCCAUCCCGCCAAAA